UUUGAUAUACACAUCAAAUUUCAGGUCAAUCAGAGUUCAUCAAUAAAUUCAGAAAAAUCAACAUGUACGGAUACACACAAAACACGACUAAAUUCAUGAAUGUGUACCAUGACCUCAAAACGCCAAAAUAAUUGAUAUUUCUCUUGGUGAACAUGGUGAGUAUUAAUCACCAGGCUGUUUCCGAUAUACACAUCAAAUUUCAGGUCAAUCAGAGUCCAUCAAUAAAUUCAGAAAAAUCAACAUGUACUGAUACACACAAAACACGACUAAAUUCAUGAAUGUGUACCAUGACCCCAAAACGCCAAAAUAAUCGCUAUUUCUCUUGGUGAACAUGGUGAGUAUUGAUCACCAUGCCGUUCUCUCGAUAUACACAUCAAAUUUCAGGUCAAUCAGAGUCCAUCAAUAAAUUCAGAAAAAAUCUCGUUAAGUGUUGAUCGUGGCCUAAUAGACGACUUUGAUCGAACUAUAGGAAAUUUAUUAUACAUAAAUACACGAAAACUUACUACAUU
rnacentral:lncRNA from 1 species